AUAUGCUGCCGUUGAAACAACGAUUCAGAAAAUGGAUGUUGGAAAUAAUGCAAUUCAUGCUAAGCCCAGAAUGCAAUAAUAAACCAAAGAGAAAAACAUCCUGCGGUCUGUGUGCAUUCAAAUGGAAUUUGGAAUAUGAACCAAUAAGGAGAGUGAUCUCACUUCCAUCAAAGGAAAGCAAAUACCCAGGAAAGCUUUGAGAGCUCCUUCAGAGCUUCUGAAUAAUUUCUUCCUCCAAACUAAACGAGUGAUGCUGCAGAAAAAACAGAAUAGAAAGUGGAUGGCAGGAAAAAGCAUACUUUAUCCUAGGCAUUGAAUACAAUACAAAAAAGAGAAAAACAUCUUUGGCAAACCACAAUUGAUAUCUGGAAUAUAACCAGAACUUCGAUAGUAAAAUGUGCUCUGCUGACAACAUUAAUUCUCAUUGCCUCUGAUGAAUUAGGAUAUACAUUCAAACUGUGCAUGGAAUAGUAACCAAUAAAGAAAUGAUCUAAUUUCCACCAGUAGAAACAAAUGCUGAUAUAACAUUGAAGAUUAUUUUAGAGCUGCUGAUUCUUUUCUCCCUCCCAAUUAUACAUGUGCCAGAGCAGAG
rnacentral:lncRNA from 1 species